UGCCAGACUCCUACGGGAGGCAGCAGUCGGGAAUAUUGCGCAAUGGAGGAAACUCUGACGCAGUGACGCCGCGUGCAGGAAGAAGGUUUUCGGAUUGUAAACUGCUUUAGACAGGGAAGAAACAAGACAGUACCUGUAGAAUAAGCUCCGGCUAACUACGUGCCAGCAGCCGCGGUAAUACGUAGGGAGCAAGCGUUAUCCGGAUUUAUUGGGUUUAAAGGGUGCGUAGGCGGAAUGCCAAGUCAGCGGUAAAAUCGCGGGGCUCAACCUCGCUCCGCCGUUGAAGCUGGCGUUCUUGAGUGGGCGAGAAGUAUGCGGAAUGCGUGGUGUAGCGGUGAAAUGCAUAGAUAUCACGCAGAACUCCGAUUGCGAAGGCAGCAUACCGGCGCCCAACUGACGCUGAAGCACGAAAGCGUGGGUAUCGAACAGGAUUAGAUACCCGAGUAGUG
rnacentral:rRNA from 1 species